rnacentral:rRNA from 1 species
UACCAGCUCUCCGAGUGGUGUGGAUGUUUAUUGGGCCUAAAGCAUCCGUAGCUGGCUGGGCAAGUCCCCUGUUAAAUCCACCGAUUUAAUCGUUGGUGUGCGGGGGAUACUGUUCGGCUAGGGGACGGGAGAGGCCGACGGUAUUUUCGGGGUAGGGGUGAAAUCCUAUAAUCCCGGGAAGACCACCAGUGGCGAAGGCUGUCGGCUAGAACGCGCCCGACGGUGAGGGGUGAAAGCUGGGGGAGCGAACCGGAUUAGAUACCCGGGUAGUCCCAGCUGUAAACGAUGCAGGCUAGGUGUUUGGGCGGCCACGUGCCGCUCUAGUGCCGCAGAGAAGUCGUUAAGCCUGCCGCCUGGGGAGUACGGCCGCAAGGCUGAAACUUAAAGGAAUUGGCGGGGGAGCACCACAAGGGGUGAAGCUUGCGGUUU